rnacentral:rRNA from 1 species
UGCAAGUCGAACGAACCUUCGGGUUAGUGGCGGACGGGUGAGUAACGCGUGAGAAUCUGCCCUCAGGAGGGGGAUAACGGCUGGAAACGGCCGCUAAUACCCCAUAUGCCGCGAGGUGAAAUGAAUUUCGCCUGAGGAUGAGCUCGCGUCUGAUUAGCUAGUUGGUGGGGUAAAGGCCUACCAAGGCAUCGAUCAGUAGCUGGUCUGAGAGGAUGAUCAGCCACACUGGGACUGAGACACGGCCCAGACUCCUACGGGAGGCAGCAGUGGGGAAUUUUCCGCAAUGGGCGAAAGCCUGACGGAGCAACGCCGCGUGAGGGAUGAAGGCCUCUGGGCUGUAAACCUCUUUUAUCAAGGAAGAAGAUCUGACGGUACUUGAUGAAUAAG